ensembl:lncRNA
CUCGAUGAUCGUUAUGGUCCUUUUCAACCCAGGCCAUUCUAUGAUUCUAUGGUAGCGCAGCUGAAGUUCCUUCUGCAGUCACUGGGGCAGCUUUCCCACCUCCAGACCUACAGGCAACAUACACACAAAGUGCAGCACGGCUGUUUGUGCUCCACACUCAGAGAGCAAGUUGUCAAGUUAGAGCUUUACAAGGACCAUGGAGGUGUGGCACUGAUGGACAUGGUUAGUGGGCAUGGUGGGAAUGGGUUGGGGUUGGAUUUGGUGACCCUAGAAUCAUUUAGGUUGGAAAAGACCACUAUGACAUCAACACUGAUUGUACUUCAGAUGGGUUCUUUUGGAGGGGUUUCAUUAUCUUCCAAAAGCUGAAGCCAGGCUGCAUUCUCUCCAUAUAAUGACAAAGUUAAUUCCUCCCUCUGCAAAUUUCUACAUUCUGCAUCCAAAUUUGCUUCAUUUGACAGGAUUUACUGGUAAAUGCAGAAGAGAAGGACAGCUUGCAAGGAAAUAACAAAGCCAAAAUAGAUUUGGUUAAAGCUAGUAAAACAAGGCUUUUUUUUACUAGGCUAAAACGGAACUGCCAUUACCCAACCAGAGAAUUAAUUAAUCAAAAUCACUACUCAUAGCAAUUAAUGAGAGAAACAAACAAACAAACAAACAAACAAAAACCUGAGAGAAAUCCUUAUGAUCCCCUCCUUCCCAUAACGCGGGACAUACCCCAGGAAUCCUUCAAUCCUCACUGCCACAGAGCUUCAGCAGAACGUUCCUGUAGUCUCCUGAGCAUUUACCUUAAUGAAGGAGUAGAGAGACUUCCC